ensembl:antisense Gm13262 predicted gene 13262
GGAACUUAUCGGGGCCAGCCGGCAACUAAAUGCCACGCUGAUCCCAGGAGAUAGCCAACUGAGGUUUUUUUCACAGAAGUUUAUUUAGAAGCCUGCGACAGACUGCCCUGCCAGCGGCUCCACUUACCUCAGCACUGGUGGCUCCAUCAGAUCAGGUUUGGAAUCACACAUCAGUUGGAGGAUAAAGAUCCCCACUGUAUUUAGUGGCAGACACCUUCUGAAGACAAAUACCUCGUCAGCUACAGAGACGAUGCCUUGCCAGCCUCUCUCGUCCCUGACGGCCGAUUAUCACACCAUGUGAGCAGCUCAGGUUCCUGUGUAUCUGUUUCCUGAAUACCGUCUCCUUCUAUAAAACACUGGCAGGGUAAGUACUUCACCUCCCUUCUCCUUUAGAAAGCAUGGAUGCCGUUCAAAUGAUGGCGUGGGAUAAAGGAGAAAUAGGCUGCUGCUUUAAAGAUGGAAUGGUUAGCCUUCCUAAUGAGAAAUACUUGUCAUUCUUUUGCUUCAGAUUGUUGCAACUCACAUUCCUGUAGCAGAGUUCCUUCACUUUGCAGAGUGAAACCCUUUCCCUUACAGUAUAUGUAGUAUAUGUGUGUGCAGAAAGUGUGUGUACUGGGUAUCCUUCUCUAUUGCUCUCCCCAUUAAUGUUACUAAUGGUGUAACCAGGAAUGGAGGUGGAUACGUUUAAUCCCAGUACUUGGGAGGCAAAGGCGCUUGAAGUCAGCCUGCUGAGCUCCACCAUAGUCAGGACUUCACAGAGAAACCCUAUCUUGAAAAGAUAAAACCAAAAAGCUUAUGUGUAUAUGCAAGGUGCAUAUCUAUCUGUGUGCUGACGCCCAUGGAGAAGCAGCAUCAGACGGUCUGGAGCUGUGAGCCUCCUGUUGGUGCUAGGAUCUGGACUUUUGUGGACUUUGGUACCUCUCUUAGAGCAGAAAGCUUUUAACUCCUGACCUGUCUGUCUAUCCAGGCCCUCUACUUUUGCUGUUGUUGGGGUAAGGCCUUUUAAUGAACCUGGAGUCUGCCAUGUUGGCUACCCUUGCUGGGCAGCAAGCCUCAGAAGUCUAUGUCUGCCUCCGCAGAGCUGGGUUAUAGGUGCACACUCUUCACACCCCGCUUUCUCUGUUGGAGGCAGUGCAGGUCCUCAUGUGUGUCCAGCUUCACUUACUGAGACACCUAUCUUCCUGGCUCCAAAUCCCACUGAUCUCUUUUUAAUAAGGCUGGCCGUCACCCUCCUCUGUUGAGUCCUGUCCUCUUCUGGUUUUACCAUUUAAGGAAAGCUGCCUCCACUCUCAGGAAUUCUGUGGUGUUUAUAAUUUACUCUCUCUCUCUCUGGAGAAUGAUUUUGAUCAAAUUUUUUAACUUUUCUUUGUAACAUUGAUGUUUUAUUUUCUAAUCCCCCCUGCCACCCACAGCAGUUUCUUAAACUUCAUUUGGUUGGUGUCACAGUCAUCCAGUGGAGACCACAACCACCGGUUCAUUUUGCACAGGCCACUGAGCAGUCAUAAGAUGGUGACAACUUUGGGUCUUUAGUGACCUGGACUGGAUUCGACUCACUGACCUAGAGGUGAAAGGCUCUGUAUUUCAUUACUAAUCCCUUGAGCCAUCCAGCCCCCUGAAAAUGAUUCUUUGGUUUUAUUAUUGCAAAGACCAUUUAUAAAAUCAUGGACUGGAUUUAGGAAAGCAACCAUGAAAUAGCAAGGGACAACAAAAUUGAUUGAAACUUCUUAAAUGUUGUGUGGGCUGGAGACUCUCAGACAGGAGGAGGGGAAGUUCUAUAGAGGCACCUCCUUCCUUACUCCAGGAGUGCGACCUGCUCACUUAGACGUGGCAACUUCAGACCCACACACCAUGCCUCAGGGAAUUAAUUCCUAAAUAAAGAAAAUGGAAAAGCAAACUACGAAACAGCCAAUAAUCUUUAUUUUGCACUUCCCCCACCCUUUGUCUCCUCCAAAAAGCACUAAUGGGUAUACUUGUGCAUGUGAAAAUAUUGUAUAAAGUAUUCAGGAUGAUCUCUAAUAAAUC